rnacentral:rRNA from 1 species
GCGAAGGUAUCGGAUUACUGGGCGUAAGCGCGCGUAGGCGGUUUAUUAAGUCAGAUGUGAAAGCCCCGGGCUCAACCUGGGAAUUGCAUUUGAGACUGGUAGGCUAGAGUGUGGUAGAGGUGAGUGGAAUUUCAGGUGUAGCGGUGAAAUGCGUAGAGAUCUGAAGGAACAUCAGUGGCGAAGGCGACUCACUGGGCCAUUACUGACGCUGAGGUGCGAAAGCGUGGGUAGCAAACAGGAUUAGAUACCCUGGUAGUCCACGCCCUAAACGAUGUCAACUAGGUGUAUGGAGAAUCUAUUCUUUGUGUAUCGAAGCUAACGCGGUAAGUUGACCGCCUGGGGAGUACGGUCGCAAGACUAAAACUCAAAUGAAUUGACGGGGGCCCGCUCAAGCGGUGGAGCAUGUGGUUUAAUUCGAUGCAACGCGAAGAAGCGUG